rnacentral:rRNA from 1 species
GACGAACGCUGGCGGCGUGCUUAACACAUGCAAGUCGAACGAUGAAGCCGGAGCUUGCUCUGGUGAAUUAGUGGCGAACGGGUGAGUAACACGUGAGUAACCUGCCCUUGACUCUGGGAUAACUGCUAGAAAUGGUAGCUAAUACCGGAUACGACCCUCGGAGGCAUCUCCAGGGGGUGGAAAGAAUUUCGGUCAAGGAUGGACUCGCGGCCUAUCAGCUAGUUGGUGAGGUAACGGCUCACCAAGGCGACGACGGGUAGCCGGCCUGAGAGGGUGACCGGCCACACUGGGACUGAGACACGGCCCAGACUCCUACGGGAGGCAGCAGUGGGGAAUAUUGCACAAUGGGCGCAAGCCUGAUGCAGCAACGCCGCGUGAGGGAUGACGGCCUUCGGGUUGUAAACCUCUUUUAGUAGGGAAGAAGCGAAAGUGACGGUACCUGCAGAAGAAGCACCGGCUAACUCUGUGCCAGCCGCCGCAGUAACAC